ensembl:lncRNA
GUGUGCGUGUUGUUGUUCCAGGUGUGUGUGUUGUUGUAGCGUGUGUAGGUGUGUGUGUUGUUGUUCCAGGUGUGUGUGUUGUUGUAGUGUGUGUAGGUGUGUGUGUUGUUGUUCCAGGUGUGUGUGUUGUUGUAGCGUGUGUAGGUGUGUGUGUUGUUGUUCCAGGUGUGUGUGUUGUUGUAGCGUGUGUAGGUGUGUGUGUGGUGGUUCUGGCCCGGUGCUGCAGGCUGAUGGACUGGGUCAGGGAUCCUUUCUGAGGGGAGAAGCGGGGCAGGUCCAUCAGCUCCACAUAUUCCCCCUCAGAGUCCUCUCCAUCGCUGCUGGCUGCUGAUUGGUCAGUCUUGGUUAGAGGGAGGAGCUUCCCGUCCUGACCUGAGGACAGGCGUGAGGAAUUCAUUAAACCGUCCUGGUCCUCCCUGGGGGGGCGGGGCCGGCUGAUGAAUUGUGGGUAGACCAGGUCCUCCCAGGGGACCCUGAAGACGUCUCCGUGGGCGGCCAGAAGGAGGCGCUCCAGCCGAGGAGCUCCUCGCCGCUCCCUGUCCCUGUUGACCGAGUCCAGCCAGGCCAUGCUGAAGAGCGAGCGCAGCGCUAACUGCGACACCUCCUGCUGCUCCACAUGACGGCCGGCCCAACUGCACAGGAGCAGGCGGGGCUCCGAGGCUCCGCCCCCGUAGGAGGCGCCGUGGGAACGAGGAGGAGGCGGGGCUACGGCAGGAGACACCAGCAGGUAGAAGUCACCUGGACGGAGGAGGCGCUGGUCCAGAGGACAGAGCUGGACCACUAUCUUCUCAUGGACACACAGGGGCCAACCUUCAUG